GAUGAAGAACGUAGCGAAAUGCGAUACUUGGUGUGAAUUGCAGAAUCCCGUGAACCAUCGAGUCUUUGAACGCAAGUUGCGCCCGAAGCCAUCAGGUUGAGGGCACGUCUGCCUGGGCGUCACAUAUCGUUGCCCAAUGCCUAUUGCAGUGCAAUAGGAAUUUCUAGGGCGAAUGAUGGCUUCCCGUGAGCGUUGUUGCCUCGCGGUUGGUUGAAAAUCGAGUCCUUGGUAGGGUGUGCCAUGGUAGAUGGUGGUCGAGUUAGAACGAUACCGAUCAUGUGCAUGCUCCCCAAAAUAUGGCCUCUAUGACCCACACGCGUCUUUUGACGCUCAUGACGAGACCUCAGGUCAGGCGGGGCUACCCGCUGAAUUUAAGCAUAUCAAUAAGCCGGAGGA
rnacentral:misc_RNA from 1 species